AAGGUUUUAUCUUUGUAACUCUGUUUUGAUACUCUUUCAUUUGUUUGUGAGGAAUGCUUUUAGUGAAGAAGCGUUACAUUCCUUUCCUC